rnacentral:rRNA from 1 species
CCCUUAGAUGUUCUGGGCCGCACGCGCGCUACACUGAUGCAUGCAACGAGUUCUAUCCUUGGCCGGAAGGCCUGGGUAAUCUGUGAACGUGCAUCGUGAUAGGGAUAGAUUAUUGCAAUUAUUAAUCUUGAACGAGGAAUUCCUAGUAAACGCAAGUCAUCAGCUUGCAUUGAUUACGUCCCUGCCCUUUGUACACACCGCCCGUCGCACCUACCGAUUGAAUGGUCCGGUGAAAUCUUCGGAUCUGAGAGAUGUCUGAUUAAUUUCGGACGCCUUUUGGAAAAGUUGCUUAAACCUUACCAUUUAGAGGAAGGUGAAGUCGUAACA